rnacentral:rRNA from 1 species
ACGAACGCUGGCGGCGUGCUUAACACAUGCAAGUCGAACGGUGAAGCCUUUCGGGGUGGAUCAGUGGCGAACGGGUGAGUAACACGUGGGCAAUCUGCCCUGCACUCUGGGACAAGCCCUGGAAACGGGGUCUAAUACCGGAUAUUACUCGAGGGGGCAUCUUCUCGGGUGGAAAGCUCCGGCGGUGCAGGAUGAGCCCGCGGCCUAUCAGCUUGUUGGUGGGGUGAUGGCCUACCAAGGCGACGACGGGUAGCCG